UUAAUUUUCAUUGAUUGAUUCAUUAUUAUUUUAGAAGGAAUUUAUAUCGAAUUUAUUGACUCAUUUAAAUCUUAAAAGUCUAUAAAGUACUUCAAAAUCUCAAAAGUCUGUGUCAUAAAGUCUAACAAAUUCUUGUGUUAAAAAUCUUGAUUGAAAAAAUCAUUCAAAAAAGUCUUCUAAAAUCUCAUAAAAUCAAUACAAUCUCACAAAGUCUUUUAAAAUCUUCAAGAUUUUUUUUGCUAAAAUUGUCUUGUGAAAUCUUAAUCCAAUACACCCCCUUA
rnacentral:lncRNA from 1 species